AUUGAACGCUGGCGGCAGGCUUAACACAUGCAAGUCGAGCGGGGUGAUGGUGCUUGCACUAUCACUUAGCGGCGGACGGGUGAGUAAUGCUUAGGAAUCUGCCUAUUAGUGGGGGACAACAUCUCGAAAGGGAUGCUAAUACCGCAUACGUCCUACGGGAGAAAGCAGGGGAUCACUUGUGACCUUGCGCUAAUAGAUGAGCCUAAGUCGGAUUAGCUAGUUGGUGGGGUAAAGGCCUACCAAGGCGACGAUCUGUAGCGGGUCUGAGAGGAUGAUCCGCCACACUGGGACUGGGAAACGGCCCAGACUCCUACGGGAGGCAGCAGUGGGGAAUAUUGGACAAUGGGGGGAACCCUGAUCCAGCCAUGCCGCGUGUGUGAAGAAGGCCUUAUGGUUGUAAAGCACUUUAAGCGAGGAGGAGGCUCUUUUGGUUAAUACCCAGAAUGAGUGGACGUUACUCGCAGAAUAAGCACCGGCUAACUCUGUGCCAGCAGCCGCCGUAA
rnacentral:rRNA from 1 species